rnacentral:rRNA from 1 species
GUCCUACGGGCGGCUGCAGUGGGGAAUAUUGGACAAUGGGCGCAAGCCUGAUCCAGCCAUGCCGCGUGAGUGAAGAAGGCCUUAGGGUUGUAAAGCUCUUUCAGCGGGGACGAUAAUGACGGUACCCGCAGAAGAAGCCCCGGCUAACUUCGUGCCAGCAGCCGCGGUAAUACGAAGGGGCUAGCGUUGUUCGGAAUUACUGGGCGUAAAGCGCGCGUAGGCGGGUCGUUAAGUCAGGGGUGAAAUGCCGAGGCUCAACCUCGGAACUGCCUUUGAUACUGGCGACCUGGAGUUCGGGAGAGGUGAGUGGAAUUCCGAGUGUAGAGGUGAAAUUCGUAGAUAUUCGGAGGAACACCAGAAGCGAAGGCGGCUCACUGGCCCGAGACUGACGCUGAGGCGCGAAAGCGUGGGGAGCAAACAGGAUUAGAUACCCCAGUAGUCU